CUCAAACACCGGGAACUCUGGGAAAGGAAAUCAGGGUUUCAUUGAUCGCAGGUGGAUAGAUGAGCGGGGCGAUCGCGGAUUGGGCAGUGUGAAGAGAAGGAGGAGUAUAAAGAGGGCCUCAGAAACUGCAGAGAGGGAAGGGAGUUCUUUGUUUUAUUCUAGCCGAUACGGCGAGUGAGUUGGAGUGUUCGGGUGAGUGCAGUGGAAAGAAGGCAGAGGAUAUUGUUGGCUGGGCGAAGACGGAGACAAGGGUUUGGCAGAAACAGAAACCGGGCUGAGUAUAUUGGGAUGUCUACCUAACUGUGAAAUGCUCCAUGGACAUGUGUAACAAAUUCUGAGUGGUUGAAAACAGGAAGACUCACCGGAAGUAUCGCCGAAGGAGGCCUUUUCGACAGGGCACGUGGCAGCAGGAGAAGUAUCCAGGAGCUGGAAAGAAGAGGGAAAAGAGACCUCGUGUUAGUAACGGUGUGAGUACCCUAAACCAUCGUACAGCAGUAUAAUCAUCUAGAGUGAACUAUCUGUGAGCGUUCUUGUGAGUUUGUGGCAUAGUAUGUGAGCGGCCCCACCGUGGAGGAGGAUUGUGGGUGAGCCGGGACCAGUGAGCGAGAGAGGACGUUGGGGUGUCGUGGCGGCGACGUUUAAAUCUGAAUAUUCGUGGCAUCAGUGUCUCCACGAUUUCCAGGACGAGUCUUUGGUCAGACGGGGUUUUGACCCUAAAUUCACCAAGAGUGUGUGGAGUGCAGUGGGUGAGUCUUUGUCCUUUGCUGUGAGUGUAUACACUUGAAAAUUGCAGUGUUGUGCUGUGUUGUGUCGUCAACAACCACCUUUCAGGCCCGACGAAAUCCUGUGAAGGAAGUGAGUACCAAGGCAGGCGAAGAAAACAUCUCCAAUUACAUGCCGUCGAUGACAUCCUGACCCUUCUUCCCCACGUGACGGUGGUGGGAAACAAUUUCAAAAAGAAGAGGGAAGCGUUCGACCCAUCCAGUGUAGUACACCCCGGGUGAAACAACUUACCUGUGUGUGACGCCAGCGGAGGCCGUGUUCGGCCCAACGCAACAGUAGUUUUCGAUCCGCCUCUCUAUCAGCAGUUGGUAGAAGCCUCAGAAAAGGAACGUCUGACGUCUAUUCCCUCGAAGGUCUGUGAGUUACAUCACUUCCUGUUUCCCUGUAUAUUCACCGUAAGCGUAUGCCCAAAGCUAAAGCCAGCAUAUUGUGUUGUACACUCGCCUGUCUGCCCAGAGUGAAGUCCCGGUUACAUUGGAUGUACUUACCUUAUGCCCAAAGCUAAAGCCAGCAUGUUGUGUUGUACACUCGCCUGUAUGCCCAAGUGAAGUCCCAGUUACAUUUGACGUACUUACCCAGCAUAUUGUGUUGUACACUCGCCUGUCUGCCCAGAGUGAAGUCCCAGUUAUAUUGGAUGUACUUACCUUAUGCCCAAAGCUAAAGCCAGCAUAUUGUGUUGUACACUCGCCUGUAUGCUCAAGUGAAGCCCCAGUUGUCUUUCCUACGGACUUACUUGUGCCCCCGAGUGAAGAGCCAGCGGCCCCUCUGUCCACUGUCCGUGUCCAGUCCUGUUACACUUACCUGUAUGCUCUUGUGCAGAUCUAGCGUGUCCCUUUGAAGCGUCUACCUGCAUGUCGACCCGUCACUCAGGAUACAGAAACCGCGGAAACCCCCUCCUGUACACUUACCAGUACGGUUUUAGUUGGAUCCCGGCAGCCCUUGUGCAGUUCCACCAGCAUCUGGACGACCGGGAGUACAACCCGCUGGGCCGCCUCGGAGUUUGCCACGAGUAGCAGCAGGUAUCCAUUGUGCAUCCAAACUCUCAAUACUUACCACUUGUAUCUGUUACGUCCAGGAAAGGAGAGGACUCUGGACAGUCGUCCUGCAAGCCAGAAUAAAGGGGCACUUGUGAAUAAGCUGAUUGUCGUCACAUAGCCAGAAGGAAAGAGGAGUGAAGGACUCACCUGAGAUCUCCC
ensembl:lncRNA